rnacentral:rRNA from 1 species
UACAGAGGUCCCAAGCGUUGUUCGGAUUCACUGGGCGUAAAGGGUGCGUAGGCGGUCGGGUAAGUCUGACGUGAAAUCUUCAAGCUUAACUUGGAAACUGCGUCGGAUACUAUUCGGCUGGAGGAAUGGAGGGGAGACUGGAAUACUUGGUGUAGCAGUGAAAUGCGUAGAUAUCAAGUGGAACACCAGUGGCGAAGGCGAGUCUCGUGGACAUUUCCUGACGCUGAGGCACGAAAGCCAGGGGAGCAAACGGG